CGAAAUCGUGAGAUCAAGCAAAUCCCAAAAAACGUUGCCCAGUUCGGAUUGCAGGCUGAAAUUCGCCUGCAUGAAGCCGGAAUCGCUAGUAAUCGCGGGUCAGCAUACCGCGGUGAAUGUGUUCCUGAGCCUUGUACACACCGCCCGUCAAGCCACGAAAGUUGGGAGGGCCCGAAGUCGCGAUGCUAACCCGCAAGGGAGGCUAGCGCCGAAGGUCAGCUCGAUGAUUGGGACUAAGUCGUAACAAGGUAGCCGUAGGGGAACCUGCGGCUGGAUCACCUCCUUU
rnacentral:rRNA from 1 species